rnacentral:tRNA from 1 species
UAAAGUCUUAAGUUAAGAAAAACUUUUAGCCUUCAAAGUUUAGAUUGGAAUUUUUCCAGACUUU